rnacentral:rRNA from 1 species
UACGUAGGAGGCAAGCGUUGUCCGGAAUUACUGGGCGUAAAGCGCGUGUAGGUGGUGGGACAAGUCUGCUGUGAAAGCGCCUGGCUUAACCGGGCGAGGUCGGCGGAAACUGUUCGACUCGAGGACGGUAGAGGGGGGUGGAAUUCCCGGUGUAGUGGUGAAAUGCGUAGAGAUCGGGAGGAACACCAAUGGCGAAGGCAGCUCGCUGGGACGUGACUGACGCUGAGGAGCGAAAGCAUGGGGAGCGAACAGG